AUUAUUUGAUCUGACCAUUGCCAUAACCUGUAAUUGGAUAAAAAUGUCUAAGUACUGGUCUCGGUUUGACACUUAGAAGCAGUAACCUCAGAAUGUUCCUUAACUCUACUUAAUGAAAAGAGAACUGUCCUUAUAAUGAGGACAAAGGGAUAAAUAAAUAAAAUCAUAAAUAUGAAAAGUCUUAACAUGAUACCUGAAUCAUACUGUAUCCUUAAUAAAUGCUCUUUGAUUCGUGAAUUAUAAAAUAUGAUUUUUUCCAUCCUGACCUAAUAUUUGUCAUACGUUUAGCAAUGACAAUCAUGCCUUACAGUGUAAGAUUCUUGGGAACCUUCUUUCUGGCUUAAACAUUUCACCAGGGUCCCAACUGUGAAGUCAUUAAUCAAAUAGGUAUGCAAAAAAUUUUAGAUGUGGACAAAUCCUUUCCUUCUUGAGUAAAUGAAGCAUUCUAAAUAGCCGUGUCUAUUUUGUCUUUUUAUUAUGCAUUUCAAAGAAGGCAUGAGUGGGUUUUCUCUGGAAUGCCCGGUGAGCCUUCAUUGCUGAAAUUGGGGUGAUACCCAUUUUUCUCCAACCAACUCUGACAAUGCUUAAUGGGAGUGAGAGGAAGUGAUUGGUCUUAAGAGGAAAUGCAAUGAACAAUUUUCUUUCUCUCGGUCAGCUAUGACAGCAUAUAGAAAGAACUUGAGUUUCAAAGGCUGUGACUGCUGCAGGAAACUCUAGAACCUGUGGCGUUCAAGUAGGAUAACUGUCUCCCUCCAAAGCAUUUUGGUAAUCUCCUCCUCGCCCCCACCCCCUCUGAUUUAUGACUGUAUCUUUUGACCUUCUUUCUUUCUUCAUAAAAAGCACUAAGUUGCCAUUUAUAUAGCAGAGGACAGCAGAUAAAUGUUAAAAUUUACUGUAGAUCCUCACUGGGGAAUGGGCUUACAGAUCUCUCAGGCACCAAGUGUCACAAAAGCAUGUGAGUUUUGAUAUCCUUCAGUCAUGUGAGGAGUAAUCAUAAAAGGACAAAGUCCUAAAAAAAAUUAAACUUUCCAUAGACAGAGCAUAGCUGCAUUUUAAGUAACCACUUUAAAGAAAUGACUGCUGUUUUGGCAAAAGCUAGUAAGCCACAGAAAAUUAAUUUCAUGUUUCAUUGACAUUACUUUCAGGAAUUUCAUGUUGACAUAACCUAUAGAAUAAGGGUGAGAUACUGCAGACAAUAUAUUUAAUGCUGCUCUACAAGCAAAAAAUAUUUUAAAUCCAAACAGAGACUCAGCUUUAUGAAAUAAUCAUCUUCUGUGUGACAAUGAAUGAAACUGUAAUUUUCACAUUAAUUGUCUAGAUGCUAAUUGCUUCUAGAGCAAAAGUUUAAAUCAAAUUGUGAGCUCUUUUUAAGGCCUCUGUGUUGAACCUAAGUUACAUUUCAAACUAAUUCUUAUUUUGUCUUCCAUGUAGAUAGCAAUGCUUUUAUAUGAUUGAUAUAUUAAAAAUAUCAACUAAUGUCUGAUUCAAUUGUAUGCUAAGCUAAAAAGAAGGCACCUAUAAACACGUACUUCUAAAUACAUUCAACAAAAUAAUUGCUUUUAUCCAAAUCAAAAUGUUUUCACUUACUCCACAGUUGAGAGAGAGGGAGAUUAUUGGCUUUGACCAGCAAUAUGCAUGUUUGUCUCAUAAAAGCUGUAUGUCCUCAUUCUUUGCGUUCGCAUCUGUCACCAUGAAUCUGUGAUCCACCUGCUGAGAAGACUAUUGAUUGACUGUUGUUUGACCAAGGCUCUCUUUGGGUCUGAGGUAACAAGCCUUGUUUAUAUAAUGCACAGUUUCUGUUUCUACCUCUUGGCUUUGAAAUCUGCUCAAAGUCACAUAUUAGCAACUGGCAGAAAUCUGGCUAGUAUUCCUGCUGUUGUAAAGGCUUCUCAGCUAGUUUCUAUCAUGUAAAGGUAUGAUUCAACACAUCUAUUAAAUGUUCUUCUCAUCCUUCUGGCUUGUCAUUUGUGCUCUUGCCAGUAUACCGUAAAGCUGGGAAUUCACUGAGUCUGGCAGAUUUGAAAAACACUUGGUAAUAUAGAUAUCUCAGGCAUUGGCUAGGUGGUUAGAUCUCUUUGAUUUUAUGACUCCCAGAUUUCAUCAUGACAACCAUUGCUUGAAGUCACAGAAAAACUUUCCUGUUGUGAUUUAGUAUUGCCACGUGUAUUAGACAAUUAUUACCACAAUAAUGUCGCAUAAUAAGCCAUUCCAAACUCAGUAGCUUAAAACAACAAUUACUCUCAUUCACACAUCUGCAGAUUAGGUGGAGGUUGGCUGAUCCAGGUUGGUCUUCACUAAGCAAUGCUCCGUUUUUGUGUUAAAACUGGGUCCACUUUAUAUAUUUCUCAUCUUCUUUGGACUGGUGGACCAGCCAGGACUUAACUCAUGGUAAUAGCAGAAGCAUAAGAGAGGAAAUGAAAACAAACAAUGCUAAUGCCUAUUUGCCAAACUGGCAACUGUCAUUUAUGCACACAUGCCGUUGCCAAAGCAAGAGUCUAAAGUCAAGGACAGAUAAAGUACACUCCACUUCUAGUGGGAAGAACCACAAAGUCUUAAGGCCAAGGGCCGGACACAAUGAGAGAUUAGGUAUUGGAGCCAACAAUCCAAUCUAUCACACUGUCAAAUGUCAAGUAGGGUGAAAAGCAGUCUGUAGCCGUAACUCAAGGAGCUGCUAGUGGUGCGUUGGAGAGGUACAAUUUUGUGGGUAAUGAAGAAGGCCACACAACAUCUUUCCCUUGACUUUUACCUGCACCUUGCUAUCAUGUGAGAGUCUCACCGCUUCUGGGGCAUUACUAAGGGAUUUCACAGUGGAAUUCUGAAUCUUUGUUAAUUAAUGCUAGGUUGCAUAGAAUGCUAAUAGUUACUAUUUGUGGUAACACUAGCCCGAGGUUCACUAAGAUGGAAAAGGAAGAAUUUUACAGAGAUUUGUAAAUUUGUGUAAGGAAAAGACUGAAGCAGAAGUGAUGUUGUGUCAUUUCACACUUAGACUUUAAGAAAACUGGCAGCUUCUGCUCCCUCUUUCUUGAAACCCACCUACCAUUCAAGCAGUCAGGUUACCCUGCUGGAGACACCACAUGAAAAGACAAGGUGGAGCUGGGGAUGUGGGAUAAGGGAGAGGAUACCUGGAGGAUAAUUGAAGAGCCCAGCCAACAGCAGGAUCCUGGACCCCAGACACGUAACACUAGUUGAGUUGUUUUAGUCAACCCCUGUUUGUUCAAACCAUCCCAGGUGAGUUGCCAGAUAUAUGAGUGAAGAGACCAUCUUGCCUUCUUCAGCCCCAGAAGAUAUCAUAUGAAGCAGAGAUGAGUAAUCCCUGCUGUGUUGCUUCUGACUUCCUGAUCUACAGAAUUCUGAAAAAUAAUGAAAUUGUUACUGUUUUAAGCCACUAAGUUUUGGGGUAGUUUUAUAUGCAGCAAUAGAUCAUUGAAACAACUUCUCAUUGGAAUUUCUCUAAAAGAAUUCUUAUUUGGCCUUUAUCAUUUUGCCAUUUUGAGUCAUUGUUUCUAUGGAAUAUGGUACUUUUAUUGCACAGAAUAUUGGUAAAAAUGAUGAAGAGAAGACUUAUUUCUUAUUACUGCAUGAGUUUGGAGAAGAGUUAGUUUAUUCUUUUGCAACUAAAUGUUUUUUUUUAAAGCAUAAAACCUAUAGAUAGAUUAUCUAAAGAAAGGGGUUCAAUAAAUUAAUGUAUUAGCUGAUUUUCUGCCCCCCCCCCCCAAAUUAAACCAGAUGGAAGGAUUACCACCUAUCAGAGGCUCUGGGGGAGAAUCCAUUUCUUGUUUAUUCAAGCUGUUGGCAGAAUUCAGUACCUUGUGAGUAUAGAAACUAGGUCCCAGUUUUCUAGCUGGCUGUAAACUAAGAGCUGUUCCCCACUUUUAAAGGCCAUUUGAAUUCCUUGGCUAUGACUCUCUUCUUUCAUCUUCAAAGCUAGCAAUGACUGGUCAUGUCCCUCUUACACUUCAAGUUGAUCCUUUCUCUACUUCUGUCUCAUUUUCUCACCCUGCCAAGGGUACGUGUGAUUAGACUGGGACCCUUCGUAUAAUCCAAAAUAAUCUCCCUAUUUCAAGGAUGACUAACUAGCAAUCUUUAUUCCAUCUGAAACUUUAAUUUCACUUUGCCAUAUAACACAACAAAGUCCCAUAUUCCAGGAACUAGGACACUGAUGUCUUUGGAAGAUCCAUUACUCUGGCUACCAUAGCAAUAUUCCCACAUUGCUCCAUUCCAAGAAGCUCCUUUAACAUCACAGUCUAUGUAAAUAGUACUCUCAGGAGUUGCACAGUAGGCAGCUUGUACAGUCAUACAUGGCAGCACUUAGAAGCAUAUUAGAACAGAGGUAAGGGUGGUUGCAUGUCUAGGGCUCCAUUUCUGUGUCACCAAUGCUCCCGAUCUCAAACUGGAAGGUCACUACCUUCCUCUCAUUCUGGAGUAGGCCUUCUUUUUCCAACCCCUUUCUCUAUUAACCCAAGAGAAAGAUUUUCUCUUAGACAUAAAGAGAUAAUUGAAGUUCUUAAAAGAAAUGUUUAUAAGAGAAAUAAGAAUUUUUAAAAUUACAGAAAGAACAAGUUUUAGGACAGAUUAUUCAGCAAGGCAAAACUCCUAGGUAUCACUGAUCCUUCAGCUCGUUCUCAGGUCUAGCUUUUCUUCUUAUAGUAUCCUGAAUGGAUUCUAGCUCUACUUACUAAGCUAUGUCUCACUGUCCAGCUGAAUCAGCCUUUCUCAUAUGUCACCAGCUAGCACCUUGUCCAGGAGACAGCUGCCAACUUGCCCUCUUUCUGUUUAUGGUAAUAUUAUUAAUUCUUUUGCAAUCUAAUUUUGAAACCAUGAGAUUGACUUGAGAAAGAUUGACAUAGGGCAAUGUCUCUCAACUUUAUGAUGGAAAACAUUUUUCAAACAUUUCUAAUGUAAAAUGUCUAUUAUUUAAAGACUUCAAAUGAAGCCUUCCUUGUUUAUUCAGUUUCCCCUUCACCUUCCCUUGUAGCUCCUGAAACUCUAUCAUAGAAUCCCAAGGCUUCUUUGAUCAUGGUUUUGAAAACAUUACUAUAAUAGAAAGAACCUUGAAAAAGGAGAGAGAAUACAUUUCUUAAUUAUAUCAACCUUGUGACUUUGAGCAACCCUCUUAACUCUGAGUUUCUUUUCUGAUAUAACUGAGAAUAAUAUCUGAUCAAUUUGUUGGACUGCUUUGAUCAUCAGUCUCAUCUCCCACUGCAAUUCUGCUCCCCAUUUAUACUUUAAUCUUCUAAUGUUGUAGGAUUAUUUGCCCUCCCCUAAUACUCUGCCAAUUUUUAUGACCCUGGGCCAUUGACCACUUUUUCUUCUAUAUCUAGAAUACAUUUUCCUUUUUUCUUUCAGUGAAAUCCCUACUUUUCCAGCAUAAAUGACAGCUUUCUGACCCAAUCAUAAUGAAGAGGGGUGUGUGUGUGUGUGUGUGUGUGUGUGUGUGUGUUUAAUCUGCAUUUGCAUGGCAUUUUGUAUAACAACUUUUUACACCAUGGCUGAGUUUUGAUAAAGAAAUAAUUGUAAAAUUUGUAUCUAUUUUAUCCGGCAUCUAAUAUAAUCCUUAGUAUGAAAUAGAUUCCCAGUAAUUGUUUUUAGAAUGAAUAAAUCAAAAACUUAAAGUUUUGUAUUGUGUACUUAUUAUUAUUAUGCUAGCCAUUUCUGUGUGAAGACUAUUUUUUAUUCCUCUGCAUACCUUACCUUAGACUUUUAAACUCUUGUUGUAUUAACCUACCAAUACUCCACUCACAAAAGCAUUCUUGGUAACAUGGAAGGCACAGAAAACCUAAUAAAUGAAAAGGAGAAUUUGUAUAUUUUAUAGCAUGGUUUUCCAAAUUUUUACCAUGCUUGUUUGUGCUCCCAAAUUUCUUCUUUCCCAUACUUGCACUCAUGGUUCUGCUCUACCACAUCUACCUUCUUUCCAAACCCACUUCUCAAAACAUUUCCUCCAUAUACAGAAAACUCUCAUAAAUCAAGUCAAAUUUUCUUCAUCCAACUACAUUUUUACAUUAAUAGAGAACUGAGCAGAAGAAUUUUUUAUUAGUUUAGGUCUCAUAUUUUGUUUUCUCAGCUCUAUUUUCAAUUACCACCUGUAUUUGUGUAUCUUGAAUCAAUUCCAUCGAUACUAUCCCCUCCUGUUCACACUCAUUUCAUUGGUUCAAGUUACCACUUCUGUAUAUUUUUCAGGGUAAGAACUGCUGAAUUACUUAUUAAGUUAACUACAAAAGUGAAAGAAUCAGGACCUACUUCAAAAAGGCAUCAUAUUCCAGAUUUUAGAACACAGCAUUUUCUCAUUUAUAUGUAAUUUUUCUGGGGUAUAUCUUCACAUACACAUAAGCUUAACUUUCAUUUUAACUUAGCUGAAAAAAAAACAUUAGAAUUUAUAAGAAACAUAAAGUGCGAUAUGUAAUUAGAAACAGUAAUUUGGUAAGAGAAAAAAUGGGGUUUAUAUUGUAUUCUUAUUUAGGUAGUUGUGUUGCAGAAUAAAAUUUUUUAAAAAACUGCACUAAAAACUCUUCCCUCUAGAAUGAGAACUCUCCUUGCUCCUUCAUGGUAAAAUAAUUCAUUAAUCUAUUCAUUUACAUAUUAUUUAUUCACUUGUAUCUUCAUCACUAAAUAUCCACUGAACACUUUAAUGCGCCCAGAAUUGUGCUACAACUGGAUACACAGUUGCCAAUAAACAGGUUUGUUGAUAUCACAAAGCUUAUGAGAGAGACAGAUACAAACCCAAUUAGCACAACGAAGUAAGUUGUGGACAGACCCUAAUAAGAAAAAUAUUUGAGCAGGGGCAUAGAAGAGUGAAGUCAAGAAAAGGUGAUGUCAAGAAAGGCUUCACAGAGCAAGUGAUGCCUGAUUAUCACAUUAAAUAAUACCUAGAGAACAUUUUGACAACAUUGCUCACAAACAGUGUUGACAAAAAACUCUUGGCACAGGUGUUACAUCAACAAAGUGUAUCUUUGAUGUCCCAUGAUAUCCCCUUUUAUCAAGGAUAUAGUUUCUCUCAACCAAGAGUUCUAUUAGCUACACCAGCUAAUUUUGGAGGCACAGGGAUGAUGGCUUCAAAAUUGAGUUGUUGCAAAAAGCCUGAAUUUUAUUAGUGAGCAUACCAAGGUUUAAUUAAUUCUACUGUUACUACUUACUUGUCAUGAUAUAUUGGGGAAAUAAUUUAAUCUCCCAGAGAUUCACAUUCUUCAUUCACCAAGAUAAUGACACCUAUUUUAUUGUGUUAUGUGAGGAUUAAAAUAGAUAAUGAGUAAAAAAUACUUAAGACAGUACCUGGGAUAUGUUAUGCACUCAAAAAUGGUGACUUUUUUUACUAGCAGUGAUACCAAUACCAACACUGUUGCCAUUGGGAACACUGCAACUAUUGAUAAUAACAAUUGUUACUAUUUUCUGAGUUCCUUGGGCCAGCAAAAGUACAAAGUCCUUUACAUGCCUUAGCCAAUUUACUUGCCAUUUCUACUAUUAUUAUUCCUACAACUAGUAUUGCCAUAAAAUCAUUGUUGGAGGUAAUGAUAUCAAAGUGUCCAUAAAUGUUAUUUUCUCAUGGCAAUGUGCAACCUACCUAUAACCAAUCAGCUUGGGAAAUGGAAAGCAAUGUUUCUUUUUUCUUAAUUGUGCUUUCACUACUGAAUUCAGUAGAGUAAAAGAAAUCUGCCUCAAUAUUAUUUUGAGAUAUAGGACUGUAUUAUUUUCCUAGGUCUGCUUUCAAAAUUACCAUAAAUUUAAUGACUUAUGACAUCACAAGAAAUGAGUUCUACUGGGCUGGAAUCAGGUUGUCAGCGGGGCUGUUUUUUCUGAAGGCUCCAGGGGAGCCUGUUUCUUACCUCUCCCAGUUUUUAGAGGGUGCUAGCAUUCCUUGGCCUGUGACUGCAUUACAUCAUUCUCUGCUUUUAUCUUCUCAUUGUCUUCUCCUCCUUAACUUCUGAAUAUCCUGCCUCUCUUUUCUAAGAAAUCUCGUGAUUACAUUGGGCAUUGGAUCCACUCUGAUCAACCAGGAUUAUCUCUCUUGUUUAAGAUCUUUAACUUAAUCACAUAUACAAAAUCCCUUUUACAUACAAGAUAACUUACUCAGAGGUUCUGGGGAUUAUGACACAGACAUCUUUUGGAGGGCUAUUAUUCCAUCUAGCACAAAGAUUGUCAAAUUGAUGUUAAAUUAUUCAGGGAAUAAGAACAUCUGAAGAAGGUUUAUAGUAAUAUUGUGAUAUAGAAAAUAUCUACACAGUGUAGAACAUAAAACACAUAGUGUAACCCAUAAAACAAAUAUUCUCUUUGAAUACAUUCUGUUUCUUGUAUUUCAUUUGAUUAAAGCAGGAGCACAUGGGAGAUUUGCAAGUAAGUAGACUCCACCUUGACUGGUCACUAGCUAUGGGCUGGUGUACUUCAUCUAGGAAAUAUUUUCCAACUACUCACAUCAAAGAGGCUGUUCCAUUUCUGUUCUGUAUGUGAAGACUGUGGCUGAUCAAAAUUACUAAAAGUGGGGUGAAGGAAUCAGUAAACCAUAGCACACAAAAGCUGGCUCUUCACCUGUGUUUGUAAAUGAAGUUUCAUCGGAACACAGCCAUGCCUAUUUGUUUCUGUGUUGUCUAUGACUGCCUUUGCAUAACAAGGACCAAACUGUGUAUUGCAACAGACAGCUUAUGGCCUGCAGAAUCUAAAAUACUUAUUAACUCACUACAGAAAAAAAUCACCAACCCCAAGGUUAGAGAACAAAUUUCAGAAUUAAAAAGACACACAUGUGAGUUCCAGCUCUGCCACAUGCUAGCUGUUUCAUCUUGGGCAUGUUACUUGCUGUGGGCAUUUGUAGUUAUUUGGCCUCUAAGAAUCUGUUUGUGUUUAUUAUUAUUUUGGUAAUAGUUCACCUAAAUUUUGAUGAGGGACCACUCCUUCCUCAUUCUCAUUUUACGUGGUUUGGAUGGAACUUACCCUACCCCAAGUUUCAAGGGCAAGCAUGCAACCUAGACCGAAGCCAAAGGGCUAAUUUAGGAAUUUUGUCAGGGAGAAACAUUUAAUCCAAUAUGGACUAAUGUCAACCAGGGAUAGAUGCAUUCCAUUUAGGCAAGAAAAUAUCUAGAGCUACUGCUUACUGUAUAACUCCUUAUAAAACUUGGGAAUGAGGCCAAGAAUAGAUAAAAUAAAAAAUAGGAAAAAACCUGAAUUCCGAUAAUGUUAUUUGUGACCCUGCAUGAAACCACACAUGAAGCCAGCUAUAUGCAUGGGGUUUUCAGUUACAUGUAUCAAAACAUUCUGUUGUUGCUUAAGUCAGUUUGGGUUUGGUUAUCUGUUACUUGCAGCUAAUAGAGACCUAACUGAUAUAAUAUCUAAACUUGCUGAGCCUCAGUUUCUUCAUCUUUAAAAACUAGAGUGAAAAUAUCCACCUCAAUAUCUUUUGUGAUAACUAAUUGAGAUCAUGUACCUGGCACAUGGUACAAAAAAAAAACAAAAACAGAAGUGGUAAUUCCCAUUUUCAUCAUCAACAUCAUGAUUAAUGUUAAAGGUAGACCUAACAUUGCUUCAUCUCAGUAAAUUCUACAAAAUGCACAUCUGAGCUCUCCCCUUGACUUAAUAUAGAAAGUUUAGUAACUCCAUGCCUUAGAUAUUUUUAUUUGUAAAGUAGAGAUGACUAAAUAUUCAUCUUUUUUUCAAUGUUUUAUGAAUUAAGUGC
rnacentral:lncRNA from 1 species